UACGGGAGGCAGCAGUGGGGAAUAUUGCACAAUGGGCGCAAGCCUGAUGCAGCCAUGCCGCGUGUAUGAAGAAGGCCUUCGGGUUGUAAAGUACUUUCAGUCGUGAGGAAGGUGUUAAGGUUAAUAACCUUAGCAAUUGACGUUAGCGACAGAAGAAGCACCGGCUAACUCCGUGCCAGCAGCCGCGGUAAUACGGAGGGUGCGAGCGUUAAUCGGAAUUAUUGGGCGUAAAGAGCGCGUAGGCUGAUUAGUAAGUUUAAAAGUGAAAUCCCAAAGCUUAACUUUGGAAUUGCUUUUUAAACUGCUAGUCUAGAGAUUGAAAGAGGAUAGAGGAAUUCCUAGUGUAGAGGUGAAAUUCGUAAAUAUUAGGAGGAACACCAGUGGCGAAAGGCGUCUAUCUGGUUCAAAUCUGACGCUGAGGCGCGAAGGCGUGGGGAGCAAACAGGGAUUAGAUACC
rnacentral:rRNA from 1 species